GUGGAAAAGGAGGGAGCUACUCUCAGGCUGCGUCCAGCAACAGUGCCCAGGGCUCUGAUGAGUCUCUCAUCGCUUGUAAAGCCCACCCCCGUGUCCACCGUGACCCCUGUCCCCACACUGACCUGUGUUCCCUCCCCGAUCAUCUUUCCUGUUCCAGAGAAGUGGGCUGGAUGUCUCCAUCUCUGUCUCAACUUCAUGGUGCGCUGAGCUGCAACUUCUUACUUCCCUAAUGAAGUUAGGAACCUGAAUAUAAAUUUGUUUUCUCAAAUAUUUGCUAUGAAGGGUUGAUGGAUUAAUUAAAUAAGUCAAUUCCUGGAAGUUGAGAGAGCAAAUAAAGACCUGAG
rnacentral:lncRNA from 1 species